ACCCGCGGAACUGCUCGGCCGUGCCCUGCGCUGCGGGGCAGCCGGCCGCCCUGGGGCGGAGAAGCCGAGGCGGCGGGUGGGACAGCGGCCCUUCGCCGCCUCUGCCAGGGGGCCGCGGCGCGGUGUGCUCAGCCGAACCGCCAGCCCGUGCCACCCUCUCCGCUAGGCUUACAAACUUCAGGGACCACAAAUCCGUUUGUUUUUGGGUUUUUUUUUUCCCCUGUAAAUCCGAAGCUAACCGUGCUGCAAUCCUGUGCAGGAAUUCCCGCAGCACACGCUUCUCUGAGAGCACUGCCACCCAUUUCACAAAACCACCCACCCUCACGCUCGUGAGCGUUUUGCACAACCUCCCCGCCGCGGAAGGAGGGGGCACACACACCCCGGACCCCCGCCUGCCCAAAGGCUGCUUUAAACAGCAACGCCAUUUCCCGCAAGGGUCUUAAGAAUCAAGUACUUCUACCAACUUUCUCAUUUUUCAGCUAUAUUUUACCUACUCUCCAAAUGGCAGGCAAACUCAGCAGUAGUACUGGUUACCCCACAUAUUUUUCCAACAGGUUGUUUGGAUUAAAAAGAAAAAAAAAGGAGAAAAAAAAAAAAAAACGAACAAACAACUCAACCCAGGAGGUCUACCAGCCUGAUCAAAUACUGACUCUCAAAUGCUCCUGGCUCACGCACACCACCUACAAACAUCAGGGAGCAGAGAGGAUUUUGGAAGCAGUGGAGAAAAGAAGCCCUCCCCCAGCAGUGGGAAUCAGUGUAUUUUGAUAGAUAAAAGUUUCCUCUUGGCUAUCCCAUCUGAAAAACUGGUUUAUCCCCCAUUCCCACAGUACGUAAACAUGACAUUAAUGAACAUAUCUUGACAACCUCUGUGUGAGAAAGCAAAGUAUUACUGGAGUAGGGAACAGCACAAGUGAGGAACGGAAGAACUGAGAUAUCUGAGAAGAGAUUUGUGAAUUUAGCCGCUGAGGAGCAAGCAUUUGGGAAGAUUGAUUUAUUUUGUGAACCAGCUGAGCUGUUGAAGCACUUGCAGAGGGCAAUGAGACACCGUGCUUAGCUUGCCUAUCUACAUUUGAAAAGUCUGAGAGGUUCCUAUCUGAAUCUCAAAUGCUAUUGAAAAAAGCAUUACGUGAUGUCUCCAAAGGCAGCAACAAGGCACAACGGUGUUGUCUUCAAGUCCCAGAUUAGUACUCGAACAACCAGGAAAUCCUGGCACUAGGAAAUCACCUGGCUCUCAUACUUUAAAUCCCCGAGAUACAAUGGGGGGUGCAGGGGCAUGUUUUGUUUUAAACUCGUCUCUUUCUCUGAGAGAACACAGAUUUGACUGACUGGUGUAGUUCUCUACAGACAAACUCAAAUUAACAGUGUUCUUACCACAGAUCGUACCACUGCAAUAUCUAAUCAUCAAAAUAAAUGCGCAGAAAUCCUGCAGAAUCAGGGGCAGACGGCCCCGAGGGAGCAGGCGGCGUUGGGUCAGGGACAGGAUGCUCCUCCACAGUAAACAUUCCCCCAACAAGUUACGUACAUGGUGCAGAACCACAGGAGAAGUGCCGUGAUUGCUGUGGUUUAUUUUGUAUUACAAGUUUUCAUUUUGAUUUUUACAGCUAGCAUGGAAGUAUGAUACUUUUUUUUGAUGCUUAAAUUCCAAGAGUUUAUAUUAUGAAGUAGCAAACCCUACUGAAAGGCUGUCAUACACGUGGUGGGGAACGACCUCCAUCGUGUGGGAGGUGCAGUGUUGGCUCAGCCUUUGAGAACUUUGGUGUUCACAGUGCACUGCCAGGUACACACAUCCCUCCCUUCCCUGUAAAAAGAAAUCAUGGGUUACUAUGCAGAUAAAGGAAACUUGUUGCUUUUCUUCAGAUGCCAAAGUAAUAAUAGGUAUUUAUUCUUAAUAGUCCUGUAGUACCUUGAAGCCCUUGUCAGUCAUUAGGACCUUGGCGUGCUGGACGCUGCACAAAGAGGUCAGGCAGCAACUUAGCCUUUACAUACAACCUCAGGUAAGGGUUGGGAAAGAAUAAUGAAAAAUUGGUGGUCAAGGGAACGUAUUGUUUGGUCCCUGGAAUGCAGAAGAAUUCUUACCAUUUGCAACGGGCUUUUGUAUAGGUUGCUCAUCUGGGUGUGGUGCCCACUGGUCUAUCCCAGACACCCACGCGCAUGGGCAUACACAGCCUUGUCUGCUGACAAAUUUCUUUACAUCAUCACACAUCAGUUUACUGGCUGCAAAGGGGAUAAUUUUUGUUUCCUCACCAAAAUCCACAAACUUGCUACACAAUACUUACACUUAUUUCCAGAAAAAUACCAGCAUAUCAGUAGCAUACAACGUUAUCGGCAAAGAGAUAUCCCCCAAACUGAAAAGUAGGAUUCAAAUUAAGGGGAAUACCCAGCAAAUACAGAAGCCACUGUAUGUGUUCCUAAUGAAGCUAAAGAUUAAUGGGAAACACCACAGACAGAGAACAUGAGGGAUCAUGUAUCAUUUGUGCUGUGUGUGGGAUUAGCUGACUGUGCAUUGCAUAAAACUCAGAGUAAAUGAAAUACACCAGGGAGCUCUUGGAUGUUCUUGACUAGUGGAAAAUCGGCCACAUUUCAUUAUUUCCCACCAAUGCCCUCACUGGAAGUACAUUCAACUCAUUUUUAAAUAAAGUAUUUUCUGUACCCAAAUGGCAAACAAACCACUGAUUAAAUGGAGAGAUAGCAUA